UAAGCAUGUAGGCUGGUUAUCCAGGCAAAUCCGGAUAAUCAAGGCUGAGGUGUGAUGACGAGGCACUACGGUGCUGAAGUAACAAAUGCCCUGCUUCCAGGAAAAGCCUCUAAGCAUCAGGUAACAUCAAAUCGUACCCCAAACCGACACAGGUGGUCAGGUAGAGAAUACCAAGGCGCUUGAGAGAACUCGGGUGAAGGAACUAGGCAAAAUGGUGCCGUAACUUCGGGAGAAGGCACGCUGGUGUGUAGGUGAAGUCCCUGCGGAUGGAGCUGAGACCAGUCGAAGAUACCAGCUGGCUGCAACUGUUUAUUAAAAACAUAGCACUCUGCAAACACGAAAGUGGACGUAUACGGUGUGACGCCUGCCCGGUGCCGGAA
rnacentral:rRNA from 1 species